rnacentral:rRNA from 1 species
AUGCAAGCAGGUUCCAGCAAAAAUCAAACACGAUUCCAGCAAAAACAAAUCAAGAAAAAAGCAGCUUAUUCUCCGCCACCGCCAUCGCCGGCUGAAGCAAAAAUCCUGCUGGACGGGGUUCAGCGCCGCACAUCGUUGGGUUCCCGCAUACUAGGACUAGAUGGGGUGUGUGGUUAUGUAGCAGCGCUGCCGUUGUGGUGGGCUGUAGGUGCGCCGGCGCCGGGGAGACGGGGAGGUCUGAAGAGAGAAGAGGAGGCGAGCUCGGUGGAGAAAUCAGAGACGGAAGCAAAGACGAAGGAACGAGUGGAUGAGGUCGCGAGUCAAGAGAUAAGGGAAGAAAAAAAGAAAGCGGUGCGGUUUGGCCAGCGUGACGUGGCAUGUGUGCCCAACCCCAACGCGCAUCGCUAG